AACGAACGCUGGCGGCAGGCUUAACACAUGCAAGUCGAGCGCCCCGCAAGGGGAGCGGCAGACGGGUGAGUAACGCGUGGGAAUCUACCCAUCUCUACGGAAUAACGCAUGGAAACGUGUGCUAAUACCGUAUACGUCCUUCGGGAGAAAGAUUUAUCGGAGAUGGAUGAGCCCGCGUUGGAUUAGCUAGUUGGUGGGGUAAAGUCCUACCAAGGCGACGAUCCAUAGCUGGUCUGAGAGGAUGAUCAGCCGCACUGGGACUGAGACACGGCCCAGACUCUUACGGGAGGCAGGAGUGGGGAAUAUUGGACAAUGGGCGCAAGCCUGAUCCAGCCAUGCCGCGUGAGGGAUGAAGGCCUUCGGGUUGUAAAGCUCUUUAGCCGAUGAUUAUAAUGACUUUAGUCGGAAAAUAAGCCCCGGCUAACUUCGUGCCAGCCGCCGCCGUAAAAC
rnacentral:rRNA from 1 species